CGGACCGGCGUACGGGUGAGUAACACGUAUCCAACCUGCCGUCUACUCUUGGCCAGCCUUCUGAAAGGAAGAUUAAUCCAGGAUGGGAUCAUGAGUUCACAUGUCCGCAUGAUUAAAGGUAUUUUCCGGUAGACGAUGGGGAUGCGUUCCAUUAGAUAGUAGGCGGGGUAACGGCCCACCUAGUCAACGAUGGAUAGGGGUUCUGAGAGGAAGGUCCCCCACAUUGGAACUGAGACACGGUCCAA
rnacentral:rRNA from 1 species